rnacentral:rRNA from 1 species
CAAGUCGAACGGAAAGGCCCUUCGGGGUACUCGAGUGGCGAACGGGUGAGUAACACGUGGGUGAUCUGCCCUGCACUUUGGGAUAAGCCUGGGAAACUGGGUCUAAUACCGAAUAGGACCGCAUGCUUCAUGGUGUGUGGUGGAAAGCUUUUGCGGUGUGGGAUGGGCCCGCGGCCUAUCAGCUUGUUGGUGAGGUAAUGGCUUACCAAGGCGACGACGGGUAGCCGGCCUGAGAGGGUGACCGGCCACACUGGGACUGAGAUACGGCCCAGACUCCUACGGGAGGCAGCAGUGGGGAAUAUUGCACAAUGGGCGCAAGCCUGAUGCAGCGACGCCGCGUGAGGGAUGACGGCCUUCGGGUUGUAAACCUCUUUCGCCAGGGACGAAGCGCAAGUGACGGUACCUGGAGAAGAAGGACCGGCCAACUACGUGCCAGCAGCCGCGGUAAUACGUAGGGUCCGAGCGUUGUCCGGAAUUACUGGGCGUAAAGAGCUCGUAGGUGGUUUGUCGCGUUGUUCGUGAAAACUCACAGCUUAACUGUGGGCGUGCGGGCGAUACGGGCAGACUUGAGUACUGCAGGGGAGACUGGAAUUCCUGGUGUAGCGGUGGAAUGCGCAGAUAUCAGGAGGAACACCGGUGGCGAAGGCGGGUCUCUGGGCAGUAACUGACGCUGAGGAGCGAAAGCGUGGGGAGCGAACAGGAUUAGAUACCCUGGUAGUCCACGCCGUAAACGG